UUUGAUGGUCUUUGUUUUGUUUCACUAGAGAGCAUGCUAGCACACACGAUGCACUUCACACUUGUAGUGGAAGAGGACAUGGCUAAUAUGUGAAAGAGAUGAAUGCCGAGAAUGUUGCAUAUUCUGAGGAUUCUAUGUUAACACGGAUGACACUUCAUGAUUCGAGUAGACGUAGGCAUAUAGUUGCAUUCAUGCAUUGCAUUAGUAGUUUGUGUGUGUGUCUAUGCUUGAGGACAAGCAUCGGUUUAAGUUUGGGGGUGUGAUAAGUGGAUUU
rnacentral:lncRNA from 1 species